rnacentral:rRNA from 1 species
CGGGGGGUGCGAGCGUUGCUCGGAAUCACUGGGCGUAAAGCGUACGCAGGCUGUUGUACAAGUCGGGUGUGAAAGCCCGGGGCUCAACCCCGGAAUUGCGCCCGAAACUGUAUGACUUGAAUGCGGGAGAGGGAAGCGGAAUUCCUGGUGUAGAGGUGAAAUUCGUAGAUAUCAGGAGGAACACCAGUGGCGAAAGCGGCUUCCUGGCCCGACAUUGACGCUCAUGUACGAAAGCGCGGGGAGCAAACAGGAUUAGAUACCCUGGUAGUCCGCGCCGUAAACGAUGAGUGCUAGCUGCUGGGAAUGUUUACCGUCUCAGUGGCGAAGCCAACGCAUUAAGCACUCCGCCUGGGAAGUACGGCCGCAAGGCUA